CUUUCUGUCGCUGCCUCCAAAGUUUCAUUCAUCCAUUUCCUUUCACUCUGAUGUUGCACAAACUUUAAAUAAAUAAAUAUAAGACACAAACAGGACAUCAGCCCCAUGUCUUCCUUCAUUUGUUCCUCUUGUCCUCCCUCAGCCUGUCCGUCUGCUACCUGAUCCGUCCGUCCUCUCUGGACGGGGUCAGUUCAGACUUGGUGUCGGGGCUGGCAGCGCUCCAGGCGGUAAGACGACAGCGCUGCAUGACGGGACAGGCGCUGGGUCCCAUCGAGCAGACGUCUGCAGCCGACCAGUGGCCCUCCAGCAGCCAGUCCAGCCAGCGGCGCAGCGGCACCCCCGUCAGGGCAGCGUUGGCCUCAGCCUCCUCCACGGCGCCAAGACUCACAGGCAGCCGAAGCACCGGGUUCAGGCCGUGGAAACUCUGCUCCAUGUAGGAAUUUCUGGCUGGGCCACCGUGCAACCGCAGGGCAUCCUCUGGAUCCCAGGACAAGUGUCAGAUGGUGAUGGCAGCACAUGGUCUGGUAGCAGUGUUUCCCCCCCACGUGUGAUGUGACCAUCCUGGUAGACUGCUCUCUUGACAUGUUCCACCAGAGCAGCUCAGUGACGUGUUUGGACCGCUCACCUUGCUGUAAGGACUGCUGUCGGUGGAACUCCAGCGGAGCCACGAUGAAGCUGGUCUGGCCCAGCGGGUUCCAGUGAUGCAGCACCCUCAGGGUCCACAAACCAGGCCUCAAGGGCAGGGUGAGUGGCGGCCGGUAGUGGGUGACCUCAGCGGAGGCGUCCACCAGGAUGUCGUAAGUGGCAGCGAUGACGUUGGUGGGGUCGAUCCACACCACAGUAGCAGUCAGGUUGCUCUGGCUUCGGCUCCAGCGCUGCACGGCUACCGGCUCAUCCUUGGGCCCCAGCAGACCCCCCCAGUUCCUGAAGAGACGCUCCUUAGGAUCCCAGUCCGCCCCAACCUGAACAACAGGAAGAGUUUCAGUAUCGCCCUGUUUGGACUGACUCAGAUUCUGAUUGCAGGGAUGCACAGUUUAGGUUGUAUCUGGCAAAAGCUGCUUAAAAUGAUUUAUAAAUGGCUUCCAGUUGAUUUAGCCUAGAUUUUAAGGUUUCAAUCAAUUUAAAGUUUUACUCAUUUUUAAAUGUCUGUCUGGCUCCAGUAUACAUCUGGGAGCUUUUGUGCCCAUACUGCCCUCAGAUCCUGCAACACAACUCUGCCAAUAGUCCCGGUCCAGAUAAACUUAAGGCUCCUAAAGUCUGGAACAGUCUUCCAGUUGAAAUUCACUUUUAUGUCAAUGACUAUGUCAAUGACUAUUUCUAUCUAAAGAACUUUUUCUAUUUCAGUCGGCUUAGUUUUUCCCUAAUCAUUUAUUUUAUUGGCAUGUGUUUUUUUUUGUUCUUGUGUUACUUUUUUUUGUGAAGCACUUUAAAAAAGGUCCUUAUCACAACCGUAAUCUUAUAAAUGCUAAUGUUUCAUACCAAACAAUUAAUUCACUGAUAUAAGUAUAUAGAAGAAAUUGUUUUGUAUAACGCUUUGGCAAAACUGUUAAGGUUUUUUUUAGCCCAAAAUACUUUCUCAAACCAUAAGUAGCAUGCAAUUGUUAAACUUCUCCAAAAAUCUCAAAUGGGGAACAAAAGACAAAUUCUGGGAUAUUUCCUGAGCAACAGUGUAUCAAAAUCAUAGACUAACCAAAUGAAUAUAGGAGGAUAGUAGUUUUAGGGACAAUAGAAGUCCCUGGGUUUUUUCUGGUGUUGUGGGGAGAAUAUUUGGACUUCAUCACUUCUCCUUUGUUCAAUAUUGAAUAAAGCUGCCUAUAAUCUGAAA